rnacentral:rRNA from 1 species
CUGACCUGCAAAUUCAGGAG